AAACUGUCCAUUGAGUUAGUCGUAAGUUCUUGUGUAUUGAAGAAAUAAGAUAUUUUUAUUCACUGUAGUACUGUCUGUUGAGUCGGAUCAAAUUUAUAUUGACAUUUUUUUCAUAUUUACUUUUUGUCAAAUUAAAAAUCAGUUACGAAUAUUUUAAAAUUAUUAUCGAUAUGUAAUUAAUUAGAUAUCACAAUAUAUAUUUAGAAAAUGGCAUAAUCAAAAAAAAAAAAAAAAUCCUAAAUAUUGACAAACUAUUGAAACAAUCUAAAAUAUGGAAACCCAAUUUAAUUAAGACUUAGCUCCCACGUUUUCCGGUCUCAUACAUAAUACAUAUACUGAAUUAUAUAUAAACAAAAUUAAUGCUUAUUCAUGUAACUUUCUAGGGAAAUAUUUUGCAUAUAUAUUAAUCGUGAUUCACUUAUGUUGUGACCUUUCUUAUUGUAAACAUUUAAGAAUAUUGCCAUUGAUUUAUUAUCGAUAUGUAAUUAAUUAAUUAUGUAGAAAUUUUAUUUUAUUUUAUUUCUUAUUUAAAUAAUCAUGUGCACUAAUAAUUUAUGUUUUAGGAGGUUUAGUUAUUUUUUUGAUUUAGAAUUUGAAAAUGCUAAGGGAUCGAAAGCAUAAAAAACUGGGCUUAAAUAAAUAUUUAAACCUACCCAGGAAUUCGUGUUUUGGAUAGAUUUAUCAUUUAUAUAACUAAUGAUAUAUUGGGGGAUUUUAUAAACAUUAUGUUGAGAAACACUAAGAUAUUUCUUUCUUAUUUAUCUUAGAAGAUGAAGAAUAAUAUGUUUUAUCACUAAUUAGUUAGAAACAGUUAAGGUAUGUUAUAAGUUUGUUUUAAAUGACAAAAAUAAUUAAUGAUGAAAUCUACAAAUAGUUAAAAUUUCAUUGACAGAAUCUGUAAUUUAUAAAAUGAAAUAAAAGUUAUUUUCAAAAAGUAAUUCAGUUUAAUAAUAUAAAUUCUACUGAUGAAGUGUCUAGUUAAAAUGUUGUAGUGGUUCUCAAAUAAUAUAUAAUAGAUUACUUGUCAAGAAACUUUCAACAACAAAAGAAAGCUUCCUCAAAACGCCAUUUUAUGAUUCUUUGAAGUACUUUGUGGUGGUAUAAUAGAAUGGUGGUGUGGGAAGGGUACGUGAGUGAUGAGACGAUGGGCACUAUAGCUCCCAUUAUUGUCUAUUGGGUUUACGCUGGAGUUAACCAGUUUCUUAGCCCUUCUUUAGAUAAGUUCCGGCUUCACACCCUUGAUGAAGAGAAUGGAAAAAACGUAAUACCGAUCAUCACAGUGGUCAAAGGAGUCUUGCUUCAACAGCUUCUCCAGAUCUUAAUUACCCAACUUGGAUUCUUUAUUACUUCCUAUACAGAGGAAACCUCAAGGCCAACGGUCCAACCCUCAGUACCAAUCCAGAUCCUUCAGAUAUUAAUAGCCAUGUUCAUAUUCGACACAUGUCAGUACUUCGUCCACCGUUACAUGCACCACAACAAGUUCCUCUACCGCCACGUCCACUCGCACCACCACCGCCUCGUGGUCCCUUACGCGGUCGGGGCUCUCUACAACCACCCGGUGGAAGUCAUAUCCGACAUGCUCGGCGGAGCCGCUGCGUUCUUCGGGUCAGGGAUGACGCCGAGAACUAGCGUUUGGCUCUUCUGCCUCAUCACCGUCAAGGCCGUAGAUGAUCACAGCGGUCUACGGCUUCCGGGGAACUUGUUCCACGUUCUGUUCAAGAAUAACGGCGCUUAUCACGACGUUCACCACCAGGUUAACGGCGUUAAGUAUAACUACUCGCAGCCGUUUUUCACGUUCUGGGACAGAGUUAUGGGGACUUACAUGCCGUAUAACGUCAUGAAACGGCCCGGAGGAGGGUUCGAGGUUAGGAUGAUGAAGAAACGUUCAUAAUUAUAUGCUCCCUUGUUUAAGUUUAAUUGGUCAGAGUCAAAAUUUUCGUUUCAAAAUCAAUCAAUGUUGUUUUAAAAUUUAUUAACAAAAUUUUCCAUUUUAUUUUUCUAUUUUCUUUAUAUAUGGUUAGAUGUAUAUGCAUCUUAAUCUGUAUGGAAAAACCUAAAACGUUGACUAAAAUAAAAUGGAGAGAGUAUAUAUAAUAACUAGAUUAAUCUUGAAAUUAAUUUUCAUGCAAUUAGCUUUACUCAUCUGAUAAUUAACGUUACUUUUCAUUCAGUAACAUAUGUCAAAAUCUACCAUCUUAUAUAAUAAAAGAGACUUGUCUCUCUCCACAAGCCUCCACAUCAUCAGGGAGGAAGGGGCAUUUUGCGACACGUCAGCAUUCUCUUCCUCGUGCAACUUAUCACAAGUUCAAUGUGGGCUACGCUUAAGUUAGAGUUUAGAUGAUAAAUGUCCAAUCUCACAAAUGAACAAAAAGCCCAAUGUAACCUUUCUCCUUCUUCGACUGUCUGCUUGAAACUCCUAAACUCUAUCAUAUUCAAUGAAACGUUAUCAAUAAGAUUCACCUUUAACUCUCUCAUUGAAGCUCUCACAUGGCGUCGAUCUAAGUUACCCUUUUCCCAAUUUCCAUCACUAAGCCCUAAUUUGUUCAAUUAUAAAUAGGGAUGCAGAAAACUCAGAAUCUCAAUCUUCACCAGUUUUAACCCUUCUGCUUCAUUACACAAACGGUAGUAACGCGUCUUUUUGCGUUUCAGGGAAAUAUGGAACAUUGAAGAAAGCAGAGGAACUGAUGAGAGUUGACACGCUUCCACUUGAUGAGAAGGUUUUGCUAAUUUUUUUAAUUUUGUACGAUACAUGUCUCCCUGCUAAUGUAGGUUUGCCUUUUUUCCUAAACGAAGUUGUUCUAUAGUUUGUUUUUUUUUUUGCUAAUUUGUUCUUCCUAUAGUUGCAAAGCUUUGAUACCAACAACAAUGGCUAAUUCCUGUACUGGUUCUUGCCAACUUGAAGGCUGGUUGUUGUUCAAACACAGUUGAGGUCCGCGUUCUCAGGUUCAAGAUAGGGAGAGAACUGAUGAGUGUCGACAUACUCUUCCUGAAAAAGUUUCUGCUUCGUUUUGAUUAUCGGACUAAACUCAAUCUUGAAGCCUUCUUGGAAGAUUGGGAGCCAACAAAAGACUCAUUUUUGGUGGUAAGAGCUCUUGGUAUGAGUCUGUUAAAGAUUCUAUUGACUGAAACCAAGCUCCAUGGCUGAAGGUGUGUCGAUGUGAUGAAUGGUCUGGCUCUGCGAAACAAAUCCCUUUGGUUCGGUUUAAUAAAGAUUUUGCUUCAAAAUUCUUUUCAUUUACAACAGAUGAAUGCACACAUUUAAUUAAAAUUUUUUUUUGAAAGUUAUGAUACAGAAAUUGAAACCAUAUCUUCACAUCUUGCGUAUGAAGCAGGGUACUCCACAACGUUUGUAGAAAGAGUUUCGGGAAUCUUUGGUAGACAAGCUUUUAAGAGAGUUGACAGUGUGAUUAAUGUUUCUGCUGUAAAUUUGGAUUUGUGAGUAUGUAAUUUCCUCUUUAUGAUUAAUGAAAUAUGUGUUACAAAAAAAGUGUAAUUUCCUAACGUCAAACUGGAAAGUAAAUUAUAUGGUGAACUAAAGAGUUAAGAACAGAUUCCAAAACUGUUGAAUGGAAAUGAUGUAAAUUGAGGCUACCUACUCGACCUGUUUUUUUUUUUGGUGUUGAACCUGGUGAGUUUAUGAGCACUCGCUGAGUUCCUCUAUGUUUACGUUCUUUGGAGUUUUCAAGCGUGGCUCCUGCUCUGCUCUACGUAUAGGAUUUUUCUUUACCAUAUUAUUGGUGAAUAUGUAUUGAUUCUGUCAAGUUUAACUUAAUUAGUCUUCAGAUGCUAUAGAUGUAGAUGUCGAUGAAGUUUUUUUGUGUUAGUUUGUCUUUGAUAUUAUGAGGCUUUUGGGAUUGCCUGAGCUUUAAUGUAACGUACGUUUCUCUGUGGUCCCAUAACUUUGUGGUUGCUGGACAGUCCUAAUGAACCUCACAAAUGGGUCAUAACUUUGUGGUCGCUCACUAAACUAUUUAGGCAACCCGUGUGAAGGUGCAUUUGAACUACAGGAAAAGUCUUAAGCUUUAAAGAUACAAAAAUAAAAGAAAAAUACAUUUGAAUAGGAGUUUUACCAUCCCUUGCAAGUUUAACACACAGCGUCAGGCACUUAACUUAGUGAUCAAUUAAUUAUUGUUAAGUGUACUCUUAGACAGAUAUAUGAACAAAAAAAUGUAAAUAGUUUAUAUAACACUUGGUUCUAUAUGUGAGCACCUUAUGACAGCCAUAAUCCACUUUCCAGUCUUAAUUGCUAUGCCGUUUCUAUCGUUUGUUGAUGCAAAGCUUACUAAAUGAGAUUUAGUGCAUGUGGUUUGGUUUACAAUUUAUCUUUUAAUUCCAACGGAUUCGUGGUUAAAACAAAUUGUGUUUUUUUUUGUUACAAGGUUAAGCUUCGUCUUCACUUCCUAAAUCAAUAAGUGAACCUAAAAACAAUAUGCAAAAUAUAUAAAAACAAAUAAUGAAAUAUUCCUUCUCAAAAACAUUAAUGUAAUAUUCAAUCAAAUUAUAACAAGACGUUUGACAUAAAAGAACUAUAAAACCCCCAAAGAUUCACUUAAUAAAAAUAGGCUUCAGUUGAAUUUAAAACUUACGAUCCAGAAAAUCUAUAUUAUAUAAAAGUAACUAAUUUUUUUUAAUUCUUAAGCAUGUCAACAUUGUAUAAAGGAAAAAACAAACUUAUUAUGUCAAACUCCUUUUUAAAAUUUAUUUCACUAUUAUAGGCAAACUAGAAACAAAACUCAAAACUAGAAAAGUGCUUCUACUUUGACAACAUUGAUAAUAUACAAAGUUUCAUUAAGAGGAUUCCCAUAUAUAAAGUCAUCGUUUAGCUUCAUAUCCAACGACAAAUAAAAAUUUCAACAAAACUCAAAAUUUAAACAAUAAAAUAGUUUACAUACCCAUGUUAUACUAUGACAAACUCUAAAAACGUAGGUUAUUUACCUAAGACUAAUUGCUUAAUUUUUGGUAUUCAAAAAAAAAAAAAAUAUUCUAAGCCUUAACAUGCUGAAUAUGAACCUCUUGGUCAGCAAAGAUCAAAGCUCCAUUUCACUGCAUUAGAACUUAAUUUAUAAGCUAGCUACACCUAAGAAAUAUACGACUCCCACAUAUCACGCCCAUACGGCCGUCAAACAACAAACAUUACCGAAACACCACUAUUCAAAACAAAACGUAACACAUCUCUUACAAAACAA